GUGAGUCAUCGAGUCUUUGAACGCACCUUGCGCCCCUUGGUAUUCCGAAGGGCAUGCCUGUUUGAGUGUCAUUAAAUUAUCAACCUUGCUCGCUUUUACCGGCUUGAGUUAGGCUUGGAUGUGAGGGCUUUGCUGGCUUCCUUCAGUGGAUGGUCUGCUCCCUUUAAAUGCAUUAGUGGGAUCUCUUGUGGACCGUCACUUGGUUGUGAUAAUUAUCUACGCCAUUUGACUUUGAAGCAAACUUUAUGGGAACCUGCUUAUAACCGUCCUUUCGAGGUACAAUCUUUGUCAUUUUUGACCUCAAAUCAGGUAGGACUACCCGCUGAACUUA
rnacentral:rRNA from 1 species